rnacentral:lncRNA from 1 species
GCCUUGGAGAAGCUCGCCGGAACCUCUUCCGGGUGGGUCUGCUUGCGCAGGCGCAGUUUCACCCGGGGUCGGGCUGGCCCUGGAAAUGGGGGUUGCGUUAGGCCAGCCUCCUGCCUGGGAAGAACAGGGAAAGACCUCUGCCCUUCUGGGAUCCUUCUCCCUCUCCAGCUCAGCCUGCAGAGGACCAAGACCCGUCCCAGCAGGGAGCCUGGAGCCAGAGGGAAUGGCCCCUGGGAGCCUCAGACCCCAAGCCCAGCUGAACUACCUCCUUGGAGCUGAGAUCUCUCUACCUGCUCUUGAGUUCAGAUCGUGCUGCCUUCUUCUCUUGGAGAUGAGAUCUCUGUGUGUUCCCUUAAAACUGAGAUCUCUCUGCCUUAGAGCAGAGAUCUCUCUGACUUCUUCCCCAGGAGCUGAGAUCUCUGAGAGCUUCUGGAAGCCAGCUCUGUGGGUGCAUAUCUAG